ensembl:lncRNA
GCAGCUUAGAGGAACAUGAUAGAAAGGUGGUGUUGCUCGGAGGAGAAGCCAGAAUCCAGCAUCAGGGGGAUGAGCCCGAGCUGCGCUGGGGGACAGGAGGCAUGUAGGAUCUUAGCUCCCCAACCAGGGAUCAAACCCACAUCCUCUUCUUUGGAAGACAAAGACUUAACCACUAGACCACCGGAUCUCUUCAUUGACUUGAUAACUAGAAGACAGCUGGAUUCUCAUAUCUGCUUCUGCACUCAAUCUGUUCUGAUGUGUUAUUUUGGUUGAAGUAUAAGAAAAAUAAAAGGGCUUUGCAGGUGCCGCUAGCGGUAAAGAACCCGCCUGCCAAUGCAGGAGACACAAGAGACUUGGGUUUGAUCCCUGGGUCAGGAAGACCCCCUGGAGGAGGGCAUGGCAACUCACUCUAGUAUUCUUGCCUGGAGAAUUCCAUGGACAGAGGAACCUGGUGGGCCACAGUCCAUGGGGUCGCAGUCUGACAUGACUGAAGCAACUUAGCACGCACCCAUAAGAAGAAAAUUCACCUUCACACAGUCACAUAUUUGUAAAAAGGAGGGGUAUUUUAAAUGACCUCUCAGAUAAUUGUGGAUAUGUUUAUUUCACACUCCACCACAACUUGACAAGCGGCAGUUUUUUAAAGGUUGGCUGCAAUGUAGAAUCUGAAAUGUUUAAUGAAGUUUUCAUAUUCUGCCAUGUGAAAACUCAUGUGACACUUUGAACUCUCUUGCCACAUCAUAUCAUCAUUAUUUGGAAAAUACCAGUUCACUAGAUGGUGCCUAUCUUUUGAUUAUUAGAACAUUUUAUGACACAAUAUUUUAAAACAUUUAGUAUAGCCCCACUAAUCUCAUUAGAAAAGUCUUUAAACCUUGGGAAGCUAUUAAGCUCCCAGUGGAAGACAUAAGCUUUCCGAUUCUACUUUUUGUUUUUCUUUAAAUCUUGAAUCUUAUCUGUGGCAACACGUACUGCACUCGUUUUCCUUGAAGCACCAGACUUCCUUUGGUCAUUUUCAAGAAACUGUCUUCCAAGGAUCCACAUCUGAAUAACUGUGGUUUGUCUGUGAGCUGUUUCUUCAAGUAAAAAACGGUGUGACAUUUCAAAAAAUACUAAGUGAACAGUCCAGUCCUCAACUCAAACAGUUGCAUGAGGGCUUCUCUUCCGGACAAGUAUCACUGCUCCGCGUGCACAAGUGUUACGUGUGUAUUUCUUGGUUCUUUACGCCUGCUAUCGAAAAGUCAUUUAACGAUAAUGAUCAUUGUUGGUGCUUCAUCAAGGAUAUUUUUAAGCGAGUCUGCCAUUUUUUCCUUCUGUGAGAGUAUGGCAGGAGGCAUGCCAGGACCACUUGCUUUACUACCACUUUGGUUCACACUAAGGCGCUGGCCUUUCUAUCCGUCUCUGCUUUAGUAUCAUCAGCGCCCAUGUCAACUCAGUGAGUAAGGCGAAAAACAUCCCAGGAUUAUUACUGAAAUCAGUUUUGACAAUGCAGACCCACUGAAAGUGUCUUCGGGACCUCUAGAGGUCUGGGGAUAGCAGAUUCAGAGCAACUGCCUUAGGGUGUUACCUUUGCCUGCCUCUAAUCAAUGCCACCUCCACAAUCCAGCUUUUUAGGAAGGAAGAACAGAAGCGGAGAGCAAGUGAUUUCUUCUCAGAGAAGUGACAGAGCAGUGAUGCACACUCCAUUAGUGGAGACUUAGUCACAUGACCACACCAUACUGCUAGGGAUGAUGGGAAAUGUAGCCUCCAGCUAAGCAACCCUGGGUUUAGCAACAGCCAGAUCACUAUCAAGGGGAGAAUGCUAUUAAGGAGACAAGGAAUUUUCUGCUACGUGAAUCCCAUCACAUUCUAUUGUUCA